UGUGCCUGUUAUUAAGUUAUUUUAAUGUAACAGGAAAUAAUUUAAAUCUAAAUCUUUCUGUCCUAACUUUAAAAUAAAAUCUGGACGAACACGAUAAAACAUGCACAAUUAAUUUGUAAUUAAUAACAUUAUAUAAAGUUGCAGAACAAACUGUUACCUUUAGCAUAAAGGAAUCGUGAGACCUGAAUGUUUGAAUGAUGGACAAGUGGGGAGACUUCACCUGCUACAUGUGACAUGUUGAAAAGACAUUUGUACAUUUACACUGCUGUUUCUGUCGAAGUUAAAUAAUCCGUUAUAAAUUCAUUCGUUCAAA